rnacentral:tRNA from 1 species
GGGGGUAUAGCUCAAUGGUCAGAGCACACGACUCAUAAUCGUUAGGUUGAAGGUUCGAAUCCUUCUACCCCUA